rnacentral:rRNA from 1 species
GACAGAGGGUGCAAACGUUGUUCGGAAUUACUGGGCGUAAAGCGCGUGUAGGCGGCUAAGUAAGUCGGGCGUGAAAUCCCACGGCUCAACCGUGGAAGUGCACUCGAAACUGCAUAGCUAGAGUCCUGGAGAGGAAGGUGGAAUGCUUGGUGUAGAGGUGAAAUUCGUAGAUAUCAAGCGGAACACCGGGUGGCGAAGGCGGCCUUC